rnacentral:rRNA from 2 species
GGUUAAGCGACUAAGCGUACACGGUGGAUGCCCUGGCAGUCAGAGGCGAUGAAGGGCGUGCUAAUCUGCGAUAAGCGCCGGUAAGGUGAUAUGAACCGUUAUAACCGGCGAUACCCGAAUGGGGAAACCCAGUGUGAUUCGUCACACUAUCAUUAACUGAAUCCAUAGGUUAAUGAGGCGAACCGGGGGAACUGAAACAUCUAAGUACCCCGAGGAAAAGAAAUCAACCGAGAUUCCCCCAGUAGCGGCGAGCGAACGGGGAGGAGCCCAGAGCCUGAAUCAGCAUGUGUGUUAGUGGAAGCGUCUGGAAAGGCGCGCGAUACAGGGUGACAGCCCCGUACACAAAAGCGCAUGUGCUGUGAGCUCGAUGAGUAGGGCGGGACACGUGGUAUCCUGUCUGAAUAUGGGGGGACCAUCCUCCAAGGCUAAAUACUCCUGACUGACCGAUAGUGAACCAGUACCGUGAGGGAAAGGCGAAAAGAACCCCGGCGAGGGGAGUGAAAAAGAACCUGAAACCGUGUACGUACAAGCAGUGGGAGCACCCUUUGGGUGUGACUGCGUACCUUUUGUAUAAUGGGUCAGCGACUUAUAUUCUGUAGCAAGGUUAACCGAAUAGGGGAGCCGGAGGGAAACCGAGUCUUAAUUGGGCGUUAAGUUGCAGGGUAUAGACCCGAAACCCGGUGAUCUAGCCAUGGGCAGGUUGAAGGUUGGGUAACACUAACUGGAGGACCGAACCGACUAAUGUUGAAAAAUUAGCGGAUGACCUGUGGCUGGGGGUGAAAGGCCAAUCAAACCGGGAGAUAGCUGGUUCUCCCCGAAAGCUAUUUAGGUAGCGCCUCGUGAAUUCAUCUCCGGGGGUAGAGCACUGUUUCGGCUAGGGGGCCAUCCCGGCUUACCAACCCGAUGCAAACUGCGAAUACCGGAGAAUGUUAUCACGGGAGACACACGGCGGGUGCUAACGUCCGUCGUGAAGAGGGAAACAACCCAGACCGCCAGCUAAGGUCCCAAAGUCAUGGUUAAGUGGGAAACGAUGUGGGAAGGCCCAGACAGCCAGGAUGUUGGCUUAGAAGCAGCCAUCAUUUAAAGAAAGCGUAAUAGCUCACUGGUCGAGUCGGCCUGCGCGGAAGAUGUAACGGGGCUAAACCAUGCACCGAAGCUGCGGCAGCGACACUGUGUGUUGUUGGGUAGGGGAGCGUUCUGUAAGCCUGUGAAGGUGUGUCGUGAGGCAUGCUGGAGGUAUCAGAAGUGCGAAUGCUGACAUAAGUAACGAUAAAGCGGGUGAAAAGCCCGCUCGCCGGAAGACCAAGGGUUCCUGUCCAACGUUAAUCGGGGCAGGGUGAGUCGACCCCUAAGGCGAGGCCGAAAGGCGUAGUCGAUGGGAAACGGGUUAAUAUUCCCGUACUUGGUGUUACUGCGAAGGGGGGACGGAGAAGGCUAUGUUGGCCGGGCGACGGUUGUCCCGGUUUAAGCGUGUAGGUGUGUGUUCCAGGUAAAUCCGGUUCACUUUAACACUGAGGCGUGACGACGAGGCACUACGGUGCUGAAGCAACAAAUGCCCUGCUUCCAGGAAAAGCCUCUAAGCAUCAGGUAACAUCAAAUCGUACCCCAAACCGACACAGGUGGUCAGGUAGAGAAUACCAAGGCGCUUGAGAGAACUCGGGUGAAGGAACUAGGCAAAAUGGUGCCGUAACUUCGGGAGAAGGCACGCUGACACGUAGGUGAAGUGAUUUACUCAUGGAGCUGAAGUCAGUCGAAGAUACCAGCUGGCUGCAACUGUUUAUUAAAAACACAGCACUGUGCAAACACGAAAGUGGACGUAUACGGUGUGACGCCUGCCCGGUGCCGGAAGGUUAAUUGAUGGGGUCAGCGCAAGCGAAGCUCCUGAUCGAAGCCCCGGUAAACGGCGGCCGUAACUAUAACGGUCCUAAGGUAGCGAAAUUCCUUGUCGGGUAAGUUCCGACCUGCACGAAUGGCGUAAUGAUGGCCAGGCUGUCUCCACCCGAGACUCAGUGAAAUUGAACUCGCUGUGAAGAUGCAGUGUACCCGCGGCAAGACGGAAAGACCCCGUGAACCUUUACUAUAGCUUGACACUGAACAUUGAGCCUUGAUGUGUAGGAUAGGUGGGAGGCUUUGAAGUGUGGACGCCAGUCUGCAUGGAGCCGACCUUGAAAUACCACCCUUUAAUGUUUGAUGUUCUAACGUGGACCCGUUACCCGGGUUGCGGACAGUGUCUGGUGGGUAGUUUGACUGGGGCGGUCUCCUCCUAAAGAGUAACGGAGGAGCACGAAGGUUGGCUAAUCCUGGUCGGACAUCAGGAGGUUAGUGCAAUGGCAUAAGCCAGCUUGACUGCGAGCGUGACGGCGCGAGCAGGUGCGAAAGCAGGUCAUAGUGAUCCGGUGGUUCUGAAUGGAAGGGCCAUCGCUCAACGGAUAAAAGGUACUCCGGGGAUAACAGGCUGAUACCGCCCAAGAGUUCAUAUCGACGGCGGUGUUUGGCACCUCGAUGUCGGCUCAUCACAUCCUGGGGCUGAAGUAGGUCCCAAGGGUAUGGCUGUUCGCCAUUUAAAGUGGUACGCGAGCUGGGUUUAGAACGUCGUGAGACAGUUCGGUCCCUAUCUGCCGUGGGCGCUGGAGAACUGAGGGGGGCUGCUCCUAGUACGAGAGGACCGGAGUGGACGCAUCACUGGUGUUCGGGUUGUCAUGCCAAUGGCACUGCCCGGUAGCUAAAUGCGGAAGAGAUAAGUGCUGAAAGCAUCUAAGCACGAAACUUGCCCCGA